rnacentral:rRNA from 1 species
GAAGUGUGGACGCCAGUCUGCAUGGAGCCGACCUUGAAAUACCACCCUUUAAUGUUUGAUGUUCUAACGUUGGCCCCUAAUCGGGGUUGCGGACAGUGUCUGGUGGGUAGUUUGACUGGGGCGGUCUCCUCCUAAAGAGUAACGGAGGAGCACGAAGGUUGGCUAAUCCUGGUCGGACAUCAGGAGGUUAGUGCAAUGGCAUAAGCCAGCUUGACUGCGAGCGUGACGGCGCGAGCAGGUGCGAAAGCAGGUCAUAGUGAUCCGGUGGUUCUGAAUGGAAGGGCCAUCGCUCAACGGAUAAAAGGUACUCCGGGGAUAACAGGCUGAUACCGCCCAAGAGUUCAUAUCGACGGCGGUGUUUGGCACCUCGAUGUCGGCUCAUCACAUCCUGGGGCUGAAGUAGGUCCCAAGGGUAUGGCUGUUCGCCAUUUAAAGUGGUACGCGAGCUGGGUUUAGAACGUCGUGAGACAGUUCGGUCCCUAUCUGCCGUGGGCGCUGGAGAACUGAGGGGGGCUGCUCCUAGUACGAGAGGACCGGAGUGGACGCAUCACUGGUGUUCGGGUUGUCAUGCCAAUGGCACUGCCCGGUAGCUAAAUGCGGAAGAGAUAAGUGCUGAAAGCAUCUAAGCACGAAACUUGCCCCGAGAUGAGUUCUCCCUGACUC